rnacentral:rRNA from 1 species
UUGAUCAUGGCUCAGGACGAACGCUGGCGGCAUGCCUAAUACAUGCAAGUCGAACGCUGAAGCACUCUGCUUGCAGAGUGCGGAUGAGUGGCGAACGGGUGAGUAACACGUGGGAAAUCUGCCUAUGAGUGGGGGAUAACAUUCGGAAACGGAUGCUAAUACCGCAUAGAUUCUUGGACCGCCUGGUCCUUGAAAGAAAGACGGCUUUGCUGUCGCUUAUAGAUGAUCCCGCGGCGUAUUAGUUAGUUGGUGGGGUAAUGGCCUACCAAGACCAUGAUACGUAGCCGACCUGAGAGGGUGAUCGGCCACACUGGGACUGAGACACGGCCCAGACUCCUACGGGAGGCAGCAGUAGGGAAUCUUCCACAAUGGGUGCAAACCUGAUGGAGCAAUGCCGCGUGAAUGAAGAAGGUCUUCGGAUCGUAAAGUUCUGUUAUUAGAGAAGAACAAGUCAAGGAGUAACUGUCUUGACUUUGACGGUACCUAACCAGAAAGUCACGGCUAACUACGUGCCAGCAGCCGCGGUAAUACGUAGGUGACAAGCGUUGUCCGGAAUUAUUGGGCGUA